GGUCCAAUGGCCUGGUGGUCAUGGCGCUCUGCCUUUGGGUUUGACGACAACGUCGGUUCGAAUCCGACUUGGGCAC
rnacentral:tRNA from 1 species